GUGUGUUGAACAUUAUCUCUUCUGUUGAAGUAUUUGAACAAACUGAAUAUUCCUUCUAUUCAGUGUUUUGCGCAAGCUGGAUGGAGAGACCAUAAGAUGCUAUUGGAGGCAUAAAUGCAACCGAAUUGGAGAAGAGGCAACAGACACAAUAGUAUUCAGCACAUCAAGUGAUGGUUUUUAUUAUCUGAGCUGGAUUGAUGAUAAUCAACAUUGAUAAAGUGGUUUCACAAAUGCAGGGAUAUUAUUGUUCAUGAUUAAUUCGUUUUGUUAUGACCAGUAAAUUUGGCUGGAAGAUAAACAUUCCCACAUAUUCCUUGUGAACAUGUUGAAUGAAAUGAAUUGAAACCAGUUACCUGGACGUCACUCAAGAUCAGCUUUAUUCAGUCAGAAGAUCUGAGAUGCCUGUUCCUUUAUUGCUGAAGUGAUUAAGAGAAAGGGACUCCAAGAAAAAAGGGAAGGUGACCAUGUAAUUUAAAUCUUACUAACAGUAUUUAGUAGUAUUACAGUAUUUUGUAUGCUAAAACAAAACAAAACAAGA